GUCAUACUCAUUGGAGUUGGUUGUCGUAUUCAGAUAAGUUUUCUUUUUGAAUAUGGGACAUUGCCCUUUUCUUUCAUUUACAUAUUCAUACUUUUUGUCUUUUUAUGUCAUUUAUCAAAAUAAAAGUCACCAUCAUUUCUUUACAUUUUAAGUCAAGUCUGUGUCAAAACAAGCGAGACAAGAUUUCAAAAUUUACUACCAGUCUUUCCAAUUAUACGAGGAAAAGCC
rnacentral:lncRNA from 1 species